ACGUCGUACAUUAUUUCGCUGAGCUCUUCGAGGUCGGCGAAGAAUUCGUCCUCGUUUAUGUCUAUGGGCUUGCCGAUAUGUAUGAGAUUGUUUUCCGUCGCCUCAAGCCCCUCCUCGUCCAUGAGCAGCUCCUCAUAGAGCUUUUCGCCCGGACGAAGUCCCGUGAACUUUAUGUCAAUAUCCUUAUACGGCGUAUAGCCCGAAAGCCUGAUGAUGUUCUCCGCGAGGUCGACUAUCUUAACUGGCUCGCCCAUAUCGAGCACAAAGAUUUCGCCGCCCCUUGCGGAUGCGCCCGCCUGAAGAACGAGCGAGACGGCCUCGGGGAUAGUCAUAAAGUAGCGGAUAAUAUCUUUAUGAGUGACGGUAACGGGUCCGCCGUUUGCUAUCUGAUCUUUAAACAGCGGGAUAACCGAGCCGUUCGAGCCGAGGACAUUGCCGAAUCUGACGGCGACGAACUCGGUUUCCGAAUGCUUGUUGUAGGUCUGAACUAUCAUCUCGCAUAUGCGCUUUGUGGCGCCCAUGACAUUCGUGGGGUUGACCGCCUUAUCCGUAGAGAUGAGCACGAAACGCUCUACGCCGAACUUGUCCGCCGUGCGAACGGUCUUGAGCGUGCCGAAGACGUUAUUUUUGACGGCCUCGUUGGGGUUGUCCUCCAUAAGGGGCACGUGCUUAUGCGCCGCGGCAUGGUAGACGAUAUUCGGAUGAUACCGCGAAAACACGGUUGAUAUUCCUGUACCACCUAUAUGACUGAAGGAGUGACGGAGAAAGCUAGUGAGAGCCAGUUAAUGGAUUCUGGUCUAAGUGCGUAGGCUAGUAUGUUGGCAAAUCCGCAAUACUAUAACAGCUGAAACAUGAUGGGGAAGAGAGUCUUCGGACAAUCGAACUUUCAUGAUGCUAUGCUUCCAAGAAAAGCUUCUAGGGUUAAUCGUAUAGGUGCCUGUACCGACAACCGACACAGGUGGUCAAGGAGAGUAUCCUAAGGUGAGCGAGAGAACUAUGGUUAAGGAACUCGGCAAAAUGACCCCGUAACUUCGGGAGAAGGGGUGGUCUAGCGAUAGACCCGCAGUGAAUAGGCCCAGGCAACUGUUUACCAAAAACACAGGUCUCUGCUAACACGUAAGUGGAUGUAUAGGGGCUGACGCCUGCCCAGUGCUGGAAGGUUAAAGAGAUUAGUUAGUAUGACGUAAGUCGAUAAUACGAAGCUUUGAACUGAAGCCCCAGUGAACGGCGGCCGUAACUAUAACGGUCCUAAGGUAGCGAAAUUCCUUGUCAGGUAAGUUCUGACCCGCACGAAAGGCGUAAUGAUCUGGGUACUGUCUCAACCAUAGACUCGGUGAAAUCUUAAUACCUGUGAAAAUGCAGGUUACCCGCGACUGGACGGAAAGACCCCGUGGAGCUUUACUGUAGCUUGAUAUUGGAAUUCGGUAAACUAUGUAGAGCAUAGGUGGGAGACUAUGAGAUUAAGGCGCCAGCCUUAAAGGAGUCACCAUUGGAAUACCACCCUUAGUUUAUUGGAUUUCUAACCUAGGACCAUAAUCUGGUUCAGGGACAGUGUCUGGUGGGCAGUUUGACUGGGGCGGUCGCCUCCUAAAGAGUAACGGAGGCGUUCAAAGGUUCCCUCAGAAUGGUUGGAAAUCAUUCAAAGAGCAUAAAGGUAUAAAGGGAGCUUGACUGCAAGACCUACAAGUCAAGCAGGUGCGAAAGCAGGACUUAGUGAUCAGGCGAUUCAGAAUGGAAUGGUCGUCGCUUAACGGAUAAAAGUUACCCCGGGGAUAACAGGCUGAUACCACCCAAUAGUUCACAUAGACGGUGGUGUUUGGCACCUCGAUGUCGGCUCGUCAUAUCCUGGAGGUGGAGUCGCUUCCAAGGGUUGGGCUGUUCGCCCAUUAAAAUGGCACGCGAGCUGGGUUCAGAACGUCGUGAGACAGUUCGGUCCCUAUCCGUCGUGGGCGCAGGAAAAUUGAGGAGAGCUAUCCUUAGUACGAGAGGACCGGGAUGGACCUACCUCUGGUGUAUCUGUUGUCACGCCAGUGGCAGUGCAGAGUAGCUAUGUAGGGAAGGGAUAAACGCUGAAAGCAUCUAAGCGUGAAGCCCUCUCCAAGAUGAGUUUUCCCAUUGU
rnacentral:rRNA from 1 species